UACAGAGGUCCCGAGCGUUGUUCGGAUUCACUGGGCGUAAAGGGUGCGUAGGUGGCGUGGUAAGUUUGAUGUGAAAGCUCAGGGCUUAACCCUGAAAUGGCAUUGAAUACUACUGUGCUGGAGGUUUGGAGGGGGGACUGGAAUUCUUGGUGUAGCAGUGAAAUGCGUAGAUAUCAAGAGGAACACCAGUGGCGAAGGCGAGUCCCUGGACAACUCCUGACACUGAGGCACGAAAGCGUGGGUAGCAAACAGG
rnacentral:rRNA from 1 species